CAACUCGGUCCUAAUCCUCUUACAUUCCUAGCAAUGAAACACUCGGGUUCAAAGCUUCAACAUGAAACAAAGUCUAAGGAUAUGUCAACAAGGCUAUACAAAUAAACGAAUAGCUUCACAGUGUAUUCGUUCAAUCAUACAUUCCAACACAUUCAUACAUAAACCAACUGUGCUUUGAAAGGGUUCAACAUACUUUGUGUUAUUUGACACUUGCUACAAUGUGCCUAGACACCUUGCCUUUAUUCUCACCAACCAGGUGAUGAAAUGUACAACCCAUACCCUCCUUCAUGCCACCAACCAGGAGAUGAAAUGUACAACCCGUACUCUAAUAUCAUUUGGCAACUUGCCGCUCAUGCCACCAACCAGGUGAAGAAGGAACUCAUCUUCAUGCCACCAACGAGAUGAUGAAAUGUACAACCCGUACUUUCCUUCAUGCCACCAACCAGGUGAUGAAAUGUAAAACCCGUACUCUUCAUCAUGCCACCAACCAGGUGAUGAAAUGUACAACCCGUACUCUAAUAUCAUCUGGCAACUUGUCACUCAUGCCACCAACCAGGUGAAGAAGGAAAUCAUCUUCAUGCCACCAACCAGGUGAUGAAAUGUACAACCCAUACUCUAAUAUCAUUUGGCAACUUGCCAUUCAUGCCACCAACCAAGUGAAGAAGGAACUCAUCCUCGUGCCACCAACCAGGUGAUGAAAUGUGAUAAAAAGUGAUGAAUGAACUCACCUUCGUACCACCAGCCAAGUGAUGAAAGCAACUCACCAUUCAUUCCACCUACCAGAAGAAAAGUGGUACAACUUGUACAUGUGAACUCCUAGCAUUCACAAAUAAUAAAAAACCCUUAAGCUUGACAACUCAACUAGGGGAGCACUUAUGCUCAACAAGAGUUAUAGUCACCACCAAAGUCUUAUUGCAAGCCAACAACAACUUCAGUGCAUGGCAUAUGAAGAUCAAGCUAUUCAGCCCUCUUGCAUCUGCUUCAGACAUUUCCCCUCUGUAACAAUGCAAACACUACAACUCGUAGAAAGCUUCACACACCCUUGAUUAAGAUAGUGUGAAGCAAAACCAAUUUAUGGUGCCAAGAAGAGCUUCAUCAAAGGAGUUCAACCACAAGUCUCAAAAGCUUCACACACUCUUGAUCAAGACAGUGUGAAGCAAAACCAAUUUAUGGUGCCAACAAGAGCUUCAUCAAUAGAGGGCAACCACAAUUCUCAAAAGUUUCACACACUCUUGAUCAAGAUAGUGUGAAGCAAAACCAAUUUAUGGUGCCAACAAAAGCUUCAUCAAAGGAG
rnacentral:lncRNA from 1 species